rnacentral:rRNA from 1 species
UACGAAGGGGGCUAGCGUUGCUCGGAAUUCCUGGGCGUAAAGGGCGCGUAGGCGGCACUGUUAGUCAGGCGUGAAAUUCCUGGGCUCAACCUGGGGACUGCGCUUGAUACGGCAGAGCUUGAGGAUGGAAGAGGGUCGCGGAAUUCCCAGUGUAGAGGUGAAAUUCGUAGAUAUUGGGAAGAACACCGGUGGCGAAGGCGGCGGCCUGGUCCAUUACUGACGCUGAGGCGCGACAGCGUGGGGAGCAAACAGG